ACAAUUUGUGUUUAAGCGCUCUAUAUUUCCAUUACCUGAAUGCUUUAUAACGGCACCACGUUCAGGUAAUAGAAAUGUACAGUGCUUGUACAAAUCUC
rnacentral:pre_miRNA from 1 species